GACAGUAAAGACAGUAAAGACAGUAAAAAAAGUAAUACCAACAGUAACAACGAUAGUAAGACAAACCACGAAACAGACAACAAAAAGAGUAGAGCAGAAAGUAGGAGUGGUAAUAACGAAAGCAUCAGUUACUACAACCAUAACAAAACUAAACACGAAACCAUUAAUAAUAAACAUUUUUAUAAAUAUUUGUUAAAUUAUAUGAAAAAAAAACUACAAAAUAUAUAUAAUGAAAAAAAUAAUAAUUCAACGAAUAAAAAUUUAAUUAAAAAAAUAUGUCUAAUGAUAAAAAUAACAAAAAGAGAAUAUGCACAAAACCUAAUGUUACAUGAAUUAUUUUCUUCUCACUUAAUUAUAAAAAUUAAAUCUAUAUCUAAUAUAUUGUUGGGUUUAACUUCCUUAAAACGGUUUGUUGGAAAGCGUCAAUUUAAAUUAGUAGUGUACUGGAGUGAAGAAGGUAAAACAAUAUAUAAUAUAGAACAAUUAAAAAAAAGAAAAUCAAGAAUAUUAGAAUUAAAAGAAAAUAAUAAAAUUUUACAAGAGUAUUGUUUUAUAGAUGACUAUACUACUACAAAUAAUGAGAAAAAUAAAAAAAAAAAAAUCAAAGCAGUAAAACUAAAAAUUAAUUUUAGUGGUUGUAUUAUAAUACCAUAUAAUUACCAUAUUAAUAAUUCCCAAAUAAACAUUCUAAUAUUUCACAACGACAUACCCAUGUUAGAAUUGAAAGAAAACAUAAAAGUAAAUAACUAUAUAGGAUUUUACCAAGGAAAUAAAAUAAAAAGAAAAUUAAAAUAUCAUCCCAUGUAUUUUAAAUAUAACAACAAUGAUUUAUUUAUUGAACAAAAUUUCCCUGAUAUUUUACUCUAUCUUUAUACACACCCAAAAAGUAGUAAAUUUAUGUCUAAAAGUUUAUAUCAAUCAUUAUAUAAAAAUGAAACUAAUUUUCAAUUAAAUGAAAUGAUAGAUUCUGGUUAUUCAGCUCCAAAUUUUAGUAAGAACAGCCAAAAUAUUUUUUUUUUAUUUUGUGGUGAUUAUCAAACUGCUAAUGACGUAAUAAAAAACAAAAAAAAGAAACCUGGGUGGUAUAAAAGCAGUUUUUUUUAUACCCAUAAGGGAUAGAAGGGGUGAUGGUAGUAGUGGUGAUGAUGGUGGUAGUGGUAGUGGUAGAGGUGGUG
rnacentral:lncRNA from 1 species